rnacentral:rRNA from 1 species
UACGGAGGAUCCAAGCGUUAUCCGGAUUUAUUGGGUUUAAAGGGUGCGUAGGUGGUUUUUUAAGUCAGGGGUGAAAGACGGCAGCUUAACUGUCGCAGUGCCCUUGAUACUGAAGAACUUGAAUCCACUAGAGGUAGGCGGAAUGUGACAAGUAGCGGUGAAAUGCAUAGAUAUGUCACAGAACACCAAUUGCGAAGGCAGCUUACUAUGGUGGUAUUGGCACUGAGGCACGAAAGCGUGGGGAUCAAACAGG